rnacentral:rRNA from 1 species
UGGGUAGUCCGCACGAGCGCACCUUGUCAUUAGUUGCUACGAAAGGGCACUCUAAUGAGACUGCCGGUGACAAACCGGAGGAAGGUGGGGAUGACGUCAAGUCCUCAUGGCCCUUAUAGGUGGGGCUACACACGUCAUACAAUGGCUGGUACAAAGGGUUGCCAACCCGCGAGGGGGAGCUAAUCCCAUAAAGCCAGUCGUAGUCCGGAUCGCAGUCUGCAACUCGACUGCGUGAAGUCGGAAUCGCUAGUAAUCGUGGAUCAGCAUGUCACGGUGAAUACGUUCCCGGGUCUUGUACACACCGCCCGUCACACCAUGGGAGCGGGUCUCGCCAGAAGUAGUUAGCCUAACCGCAAGGAGGGCGAUUACCACGGCGGGGUUCGUGACUGGGGUGAAGUCGUAACAAGGUAGCCGUAUCGGAAGGUGCGGCUGGAUCACCUCCUUUCU